UGGAUCACCUCCUAACAGGGAGACAACAACUGAUUUUGAUGUCUGAGUAAUUUAUUCUCAGGCCGAAAUCCUGUCAUCUCGAAGGUCGAUCGGUACCUCAACUUGAGGGUCUAGAGAAUUUAUUCUGCUAGGCCAACUCAAUUUCAGUUCCUAAACUUUGUCUAGGUCACCCACUAAGGGUAAAUAACUCCUGGGCCAUUAGCUCAGGUGGUUAGAGCGCACCCCUGAUAAGGGUGAGGUCCCUGGUUCAAGUCCAGGAUGGCCCAUUCGUGUUUGGGGGUUUAGCUCAGUUGGUAGAGCGCCUGCUUUGCAAGCAGGAUGUCAGCGGUUCGAGUCCGCUAACCUCCAUUCAACAGGAGGCCCCUUAGCCCGAAUUCUGAAAGGAGUUCCUGGUGAGGUGACAGAGAUAAAAUUCGGAACUGGCAUUGAAAGAUGACCAGGUAAGCAAAGCUGAGUCAAUCGACUCCAGCCUCGUUUCAUUCCAGAAUUGAUCAGCUGACAAGCUUUAGGAAUCCAGAGGUCUUGAGCAAUCAAGAUUUUUAGAUUUGAAAGUUAAGUUAAGAGAUCAAUCGGUUGAAACGAUGCUGGACUCAAGGCUUUUAACCAAAGUCUUAAGUUUCAGCAGAACCUUGACAACUGCAUAGGUAAGUCUGGAAAUAAAGCAUCUCAUGGAUGCCCAGACGCAAAAGAGAUCAAGUGAGGGUGAAUAACCUGAGCUUGAGAUUUUAGUGUUUGGGAAGAAUUCUAUUGAGUUUUUAGAGCCGAGAAAUCCAAUGGUUCUUUUCAGCCAUCCAAGUUAACUGCGUGGAGGGCUUGAAGAGUUUGAUCCUGGUAUUCAAGUCUGAUUGAGCUGACCUGAAAAGGUGAGGUUAAAACGAUACUGAAUCUAGAGAGAAUGGGCCUCAACAGCCUGAAGCCAUUGGAGGAUAAUUUGGUCAAGCUACAAAGGGCUCACGGUGGAUACCUUGGCACACAGAGGCGAUGAAGG
rnacentral:tRNA from 1 species